GAAACCCCCCAGAGUCCCAAAGCCAAGGCCACGGUCCCUCCCUGCCCGGCUCCUGGCGCCGCCGCGCCCCCUGGCGGAGGAGCGAGGGAGCGCGCUGGAGGGAGGGACGCGCUUGCCCUGGGCCCAGAGGCUGGGACCGGCUCAGACAACCCCAUGGGGUCACAGGGCUCUUGCUGUGCAAUGAUGCCUCAGGGGUCCUGCAGACACUCCGUUGAGUUUGAAAAUAAAGAACCUUGAGCUCUGGAGAGGCUGGGUCCUCCUUUGAACGUCCUUUACAGGCCAGGACCUGGGGAGAAUGCCAUCCCUCCUCCACCCUCAGCUCACUGGGACCCUCAGGAAGAUCCCCCAACCAGAUCUGCAGUUAAGCAAGAUAAAGAAGACACUUCCAUUCACCAUUGUUAACAGAUAAAAUAGACAAAGGAUAGAUCUACAAAUUUCUAGGAAAAAAUGAAGACCCACAUUGUCGAUACUGGGAAAGUGUAGACCCCUGCCACAUCUCCGCAAAACGUACUUGCCCACCAUUCUUGAAACUUAGCAACACACAGAGAGAGAGAGAGAGAGAGAGAGAGAGAGAGAGAGAGAGAGAGAGCGGGUCAAGAACAAACAACCAGAUGUGACAGAACAUCCUGUGGUAUAGGGUGGGGGUGCACCUGAGGCUUCAGAAUAAGUAGAACGAUAAGCCCAAUUUACUUUUUGACCCAGAGGUAAUACUAAAGGCCGAAUCCAUGGUUGUAAACAGGUGUGAAAGACUAUUCUUUCUCAAGCCAGAGAGCCCUCAGACUGGUAAAGAUUGAUUUUAGAUCAGAGACACCAUUUCAUUUGUAAAAGCAAUAGAAACAGAAUUACAGCUGCUCUGUCCACAGGCACAAUGCGGACAAUGUUUUUAAUUGCAGUGUUAAUUAUGAUAGCCCAAGACUGGAGGUCAGCAAGGCGUCCAUGCACAGUGGGCUGGGCCAUGGGGCUACAGGAGGAAGGGGAGAAGCUCUGUGCAUGAUAGGGAGAUGGCUAGGAUGGCACCUGGGGCGAAGAGGGCAGAGUAGGGUGCCCGCGGCAGUGUCUGUGCCACAUGCCGUGCAGAUGCAAGAGCACACCUGUACUUGCAAAAAGAAAACAUAAACCAGAGAGUAACAAAGAUGAAAGUUCCCAGUAAUAAAAACGCUGGUAAAUGUGGCAGACUUCUCUUCUUGAAUUUCCUAAAUAGUGUUUGGUGGUUGGAACCAAAAGCAUGACCCCAUCUGAGAUGAUUCUAAAUAUAUACAGAGGAAAUGUUUAUGACAAUCAUUUUAUAACACCUCAGGGUGGGUAUAGAACUUUAAGAAAGAUAAAGUUUCCUUUUCUUUUUUAAAAAUUUAUUACAAUUUGUUAUAUAUGUCACAAGAAUGCAUUGCAAUUCAUAUUUCACAAAUAGAGCACAAUUUUUCAUAUCUCUGGUUGUAGAGUUACACCAGUUGGGUCUUCAUACAUGUACUUAGGGUAAUGAUGUCCAUCUCAUUCCCCUUUUGGGGGAAGAAGUUUCAAUACCUCACUUAAAUAGACAAAUAGAAAACAUGAGAAGACUAUCUACAUCAUGCAACAGCGAUAGCUACCACUAGAAAGACUGUAUAUAUUGAUCCACUGAGAAGAUAGUUGGCAAAAUCCACGUGGGUAUCUAAGAAAGGUUCAGGUAUGCACAUGAAGAUGGAGGGAAGAAACAGAAACAAGAAACAGAGAGCCGACAGGACCUAAAAGUAAAGUGGUAGACUUAAGGCCUAUUAUGUCAGGAAUCACCACUACAUGUAAGUGGUCUAAAGAGAGCAACAAAAAGAGGUGGUUGGAUGGACUGAAAACAUGACCUGACUGUUGUUUAUAAGAAGUUAACUUCCAAUGCUGUGAUAUUGGCCGCUUGAACAUGAAAGGAUGGCAAAACAUAGACCUUGCAGAUAUUAAUCAAAGGAAAGCAGGACUAGUUCUCUAAAGGGCAAAGAAAAUGGCCAAACAGAGAAGGAUGUCACAUAACAUUAACAGAGUCAGUUCACCAAGAAGACACAGC
rnacentral:lncRNA from 1 species